rnacentral:rRNA from 1 species
AUUGAACGCUGGCGGCAGGCUUAACACAUGCAAGUCGAGCGGAGCGAGGGUGCUUGCACCUUAGCUUAGCGGCGGACGGGUGAGCAAAGCUUAGGAAUCUGCCUACUAGUGGGGGACAACAUUCCGAAAGGGAUGCUAAUACCGCAUACGCCCUACGGGGGAAAGCAGGGGAUCUUCGGACCUUGCGCUAAUAGAUGAGCCUAAGUCGGAUUAGCUAGUAGGUGGGGUAAAGGCCUACCGAGGCGACGAUCUGUAGCGGGUCUGAGAGGAUGAUCCGCCACACUGGGACUGAGACACGGCCCAGACUCCUACGGGAGGCAGCAGUGGGGAAUAUUGGACAAUGGGGGGAACCCUGAUCCAGCCAUGCCGCGUGUGUGAAGAAGGCCUUUUGGUUGUAAAGCACUUUAAGCGAGGAGGAGGCGCUCUAGGAUAAUACCCUAGAUGCGUGGACGUUACUCGCAGAAUAAGCACCGGCUAACUCUGUGCCAGCAGCCGCAGUAACAC